AAAAUGCUAAACUAUAAGCGGGAAUAGAGGCAUUUUCUUUGUUGUAGCCGUGGAGGGAAGAGGCGAAUUCUUGAGGGUGGUUCCUGUCAAGCGCUUUGCCGGCGAAAAGAUUGAUCACCACUUGGUCUUUACUACAGAAUAUAUCUAGCCCAUGUGUUAUUCUCUUUUUUAUUUUUUGGUUUUAACAUUAUUAUUAUUAUUAUUAUUAUUAUUAUUAUUAUUAUUAUUAUUAUUAACAAAAUGGUUGAAAGACGCAAUGUCCAGUCUGGAAAUACUAACGUUUUCUAUUACAAUUUAAAACGUGUUGUUUUUUAAAGACAAAUAAUUUACAUUUUAUAAGCAACCUAUUAGUAGCCAUGUCGUAAUUUUCAAUAGUUAGAUAUUACAUAUGCAAAGGGGGUUUUCAUAAGUACUGUAAUCCUGUCAUAAAAUAAAAUCCAUGCAAUCUUGCAAUACCAUCAAAAUAAAUGCAUGUGUGUUUUAAAUGUAUUUUAGCCGAAGCUGAAAACUUACAUGCGCAAAGGUUCCCAGUUUUAGAAGUCUCAUAGUAGAAGGAAAACUGUAAAUUAGUCAGUCAAAUAGGCUACCCCAAUCUCAUUCGCGAAGCUCUGUGUAAUGAUGUUCAAGCUCAAAAUCUCUCCGAAACAGACAUAUCCCUGUUUGUUUAGAAUACACAAGAGAAACAGUAUAUAUACAUACACACACACACACACAUAUAUAUUGACUACAUAUAGUUACAUUUCUUGUCUGUUACUCUUGUCAAAACUUUUAAGAUUAAUGACCCAUGCUAAAAUACGCAGUUAGCCAUAUUGUGGAUGUGCUUUUAACGGGCACUUAAGGCCUCGGGCUUAGAUCACCCAAAGCUCUUCAUUCAUAUUGCUAUUGUCGAAAUGAAGACGUUACUUAACCACCCACACCUAAACACAUGUCAAACGUGUGCAUUUUUAUCAUAUACAAUACUAACGCGGGAAUUCCAUGAUCUUGGAUAUUUGAUCAAUAUAGAAAAUGCUUUCUUUUGCCACCAGGCCCCGUAUUUCCAUUGGAUGAGACUAGUCAUGUGACCAGGAAUUGGCUGCAAAUUCGCCCAUAGUCCUCAGUUUAGUAGACCCUGGUCCCCAUACGCUAGUAAUAUCACCAAUUAUUAAAGCCCGCAAAAACAGUCGUGGUGGGAGCGCAAAAUAAAACCGCGCCUUUUGGAUGUUAUUUUUGCGCAUUUUUUAUGUCGCUGGCCGCCCAUUUUGCUUAGGCAAAGCGAUGAAUUUUGAAUUUGAGAGGGAGAUUGGGUUCAUCAACAGCCAGCCUUCCCUUGCUGAGUGCCUGACGUCUUUCCCCGCUGUCCUGGAGUCAUUUCAAACUUCAUCAAUCAAGGACUCGACAGUAAUUCCACCUCCUUUCGAGCACACUAUCCCCAGCCUGAGCCCUUGCACAGGCAACCAGGCGCGACCGAGGAGCCAUAAGCGAACCGCCUCUAAUGGCCUCCAGCUCCGGACGCAAACCACGCCACUAUCGCAGCAGAAGCAGGGCCCGGCUCCAGCCACGGCCGGUGGCCCACUUGCCCACGAGUUCCCAUGGAUGAAGGAAAAGAAAUCGUCGAAGAAAUGCCCCAAGCCCGGAGCAGCACCCAUAGUACCCAAUGCAGCUGCCUCUCCCUCUCCAGCAUCCUCUGGUUUCAGCACCGCAGGACUCGAGUCCCCCACAGAAGUGCAAGUCGGUUUGGACAAUGGCAGCGGUUCUCGGCGUCUGAGGACAGCCUACACCAAUACACAGCUACUCGAACUGGAGAAGGAGUUCCACUUCAACAAAUAUCUUUGUCGCCCCAGAAGGGUCGAAAUUGCAGCCCUCUUGGAUUUAACCGAGCGCCAGGUCAAAGUGUGGUUCCAAAAUCGGCGGAUGAAGCACAAGCGACAAACCACGCACCACCGAGAAGGACAAGAAGGUGAGUCAGAAAGGCUCGGUUUCGAGCCACUCGAAGGCUCAGAUGCAACAUCGCCUUUCCCGAACCCACCACCGGAGCCGUCUGGUCCGACAGCAUCCAGUUCUAGUUCGGCUAGCGCAUCCGAGAGUGAGCCAUGCCUUCCGGCUUCCUGCUACAGCAAUACUGCUGACAAUAACCAGCCCACGCCCGAGGAAAGCCAGCCUAUACAGACCGAUUCGGCAGAUGGUCCUGACACAGCGGUUCACUCACCCCCGUACUCGACACCCACAGCCGAUAACCCCGGUACAAUGGCGGAGUCGCGCGAGGAAUUGCCAGAGAACGCCUUCACACAACCGCAGGACGCCAACUCACUAGCGGAUCUGAAUUUCUUUUCCGCCGACUCCUGUCUACAAAUUUCGGACGCUUUAUCGCCCAGUCUACAGAGUUCGCUGGAUAGCCCUGUAGACUUCUCCGAAGAGGAUUUUGACUUGUUUACAAGUACUCUUUGUACUAUAGAUUUACAACAUUUACAGUUUUGACAGACUUGAAAACAACAAUCGAAAUGUAUGCCAUCACAUUAGCCUAUUAUGAAUGCUUUUAACCACACCAUUUUCGAAAGAGAAGAGAAAAAUAUUUUAGGUUAUAUUCACACACAUAACUGCGAGAUGGAGGCUAAUAAAUCAUUACAGUAUUACGAUGUUGCUUAAACGAAUCCACACCGGGAUUGCUAAUGUCCAGUUUCAGCCUAAUCCACCAGAUCUGGAUCCCUUAGAUGACCUUUGAAAUGUGGCAGAACAGGAGAUUCACAGCAUGAAAGUCAACCAAUAAAUCUGCAGGAAUUGUGUGAUGCAAUUAUGUCAAAAUGGACCAGAAUCUUAAACAGUCCUGCAUUUUGUGAAAUAUAUGCUUUCAUCCAUGAAGAACUAAGGCUGUUUUGAGAAAAAAAGGAGGCCCUACCCUCUAUUAGUAUAGUGUUAAUAAAAAGUGCUCAGUGAGUAUAGUUAACUAACAGUGCCUAGAAUGAGCAAAAACGCGGUGAAGCAGCUUUUAGAUACUCAUCUGCACUGAUCUGGUAGAAAGUUCCAAAUAAUGUAUGAUCUAUAAUUACUGGUUGUAGAAGGCACCGCCAUAAUGAUGGCAACAUUUUAUUAUAAUAUUAUGCAUAGAUAUUGUUUACUUAUAUGCACUGCAGAAUUUUAUUUAAAAAAUUGGAUAAAUGAAGGUAAAUGCCUACUUCUGGUCUAAGUUUUGACUACCAUAAAACAAGGCUUAAAUGAUUCAUGAUCUGCAUAUCAGAUAUGCACAAACUUUUACCAUUUUCAAUUGAUUAUUGAAAACAUUUCUACUGACCUGCUCCUUUGUUAGUAAUUUUGCUGCACCUUUACAAUGUUUUGGUAAAGAAACAUAAUUUGCCUUGCCUUUUUUUUUUUUAAGAAACAUUGUUGAAACAUCUCAACAAUGGGCUACAACUGCUGUGAAAUAUCACCUUAUUGUGAAUUCUAAUCUAAUUGUGUAUGAUAUUAAAUUUGGAUUGUACUAACCUGUUAUGUAAUGGAUCAUUACUGCACCAUGUACCAGCGAUAUAACAAAAAAGCUGGAGUGACAGAGUGGCCCUGAUAGGACCCCCAAAUUGUUUGUACUACCUAAAUCGUGCUUUGGCUUGCAAGGAUAAAAAAUUUGGAAUGAUUGUUAUUAGUAUAAUUGUUUACUCAAAGGCUUUCAUGGAAAAGUAGUUCAGAGCAAAGAGAUGUUUCUACUAACAAUGCCAACCUGUCAAAUUCACAGGUAAUAUUGUUGCUCACAGGUGAUAUUCUUACCUCUUUACUUUGAAAUCAUUUCUCUUAAUGUGACACUAAAGGCCCUUUUACACCUGGUCACU